rnacentral:rRNA from 1 species
GGGCAUGAUGCUCAUUAAACAGUUAUAGUUUAUUUGAUGGUCUUUACUACAUGGAUAACCGUGGUAAUUCUAUGGCUAAUACAUGCGCACAUGCCUCUCUCUCUGGGAGGGCAGUGUUUAUUAGAUACAGAACCAACCCACCUUCCGGUGGUCUUGAGGUGAUUCAUAGUAACCGAACGGAUCGCGUUAUGACUUCGGUCGGCGACGGAUCAUUCAAGUUUCUGACCUAUCAGCUUUCGACGGUACUGUAUUGGACUACCGUGGCAA